AGCACUCCCUGUGCAGAAACAUAGCACAGCAGAGUGUUAACAUAGAAUGUGAACUGCGGGUCAGCUACUUUAAGGUGAGGUGAUGAGACCAAUGUGAUGACUGUGUGAGAUCCACAAACCAUUAAUCAAGGCUGACGUUGUAAAGGUAUUAACCUCACAACUGUGUGGUGGAAUAACCUUGCACCCUUUGGCACAUCAUCCUGAAGGAGGAGGAAAACUCUAUUCUCCUCCUCAUCCUCAGUACCAACAACUCCGCCUGACACAAAUAUUUAAAGAGUGAAUUUUGAAACACUGGCAUUUGCUGUGAGUUUAUAGUCUGCCGUCAAUGACUGCGUCUGAGGCUUUGGAAGCGAUGAAACAGCAAUAACUGGGAAAGGCAGGUGGCUGGCAGCUGAGGAGCAGCAGCGUCGUUGUGAAUCAGCUCCUGGGACUUGACUCAGCAGAAAAAAAACAUUUCUCACAGUCGUUUAGUGACCGUCACAUUAAAGACCCUCCACAUUUCAUUACAAGCACUUGAUUCCCUCACUGCCCUCACCGAUAACAAUCAUGUGAUUUGGUCCUGUUCUGCCUCCGAUCUCAAGAGAACUGUCACUGACGCAGGUGUAAAGAGAGCAGAAUUGAAAGAUGAUGAUGAUGAGAUCUGUUAAUGUUGGAGCCAGAAACAAGUUUACAGUUUGUGUGCCAUAAUUUAAUUUGUUUGAAAACUAUGAUUUAUAUGCUGCAAAUAAUUUGCCUUUUUCUAUGUGACGUUGACAGGUAGAACAAUCGAUCCACCAGAUGGCAGAAGAUGCAAUAAAAAUUUUAAAAAGAGAGAGACUUAGAGCAGUCGAGGAAGAUUUUCAAUUCCUGUGACCCACAUAGUACAGAGGGAAGAAAAGGCAGUUCCAGGUGGUGGCGAACCAAGUGAGGGUGAAGGGGGCGUCAAACUUUUUAAAGGUCAGCUUGGCCAGCUGGGUGGAGCCGGCCCAGGAGGAGCACACACAUAUGACCAUGGCGACUCCCCACAAGGCCUUCUGCACCUGCACGGUUGUCACUCUGAUGCAGCAGUGGAGCCACCGUCUGUUGGAGCUGGUCUCGGCCCCGGUCUGACCUGCGGCCGUCUGAUGAAGAGGAAACCCCUCCUCCUCCUCCUCCUGACCUUCCAGUGUCACUGGGUGUGAAACUGCAUUAAUUCAUCGGUUAAUUCAUCUUCUGCUGCCAUCACUGAUGAUGGUCGCACAGGGAGCUGUGACAAAUCCCAGCUGUCAAUGGGAAAAAGGCAGGGUAGACCUUGGACAGGUCAGCAGUCCAUCAAACACAAACAACCAUUAACAUUGAGUUUCUCAUUACUCCAUACUGACUAUUCAGCAGUAAUGGUGCUGUAAAAAUCACUGAAGAUUUUACCAAACCUUGUCUGUGUCUAAAUGAACAUUUUUUACCAUGGUUCUCCUUCUGUGUUAUGUCAAUGCAUGAGCUAAAAGUUUCCACCUGAGAUGAUGUUUCAACCACAGGUGACCUGUGUGUCAGAGACGUUUUCCUCCCUCGUCCUGAUAAAUAUACCUCCGUUCACACUCUAAUUGAACUUGAAAGUAAUCAAUCAGACAUCUGAGUUAUAAAUACAGUGAUUGGACGUGACAGGCGGCAGCCCAACAGAGGACACGAGAGGACAGAACUGACACUUAAUCCAAGACCUCUUCUCGACCUCAGUGAUUGUUACAACGCCGUCUCCUCCUACGCCGAAACUUCAACACGUUGAAAAUGUGUGAAGUCCUGUCUGCAAAACUGACAAAUUCCUCUGGGCUUAAAAUUAGUUUUUCUUUCCGACGUCACUUCGCUGCGUCAGGUGACUGGUUCAACAGUAGGACAGUGGGAACGUCUGUUCAUAACCUGACAGUUGCCUGUGGAAGCACCAGCACCACAUCGGUUUGGUAGUUUUACAUGAAAUACUGCGACACUAUAGCAUCACAAUAAAAGAUGAGAGGAGACAACAGGAGACAACCAGGUUGUUGGUCUGAAUCCUGACAGCUGUAUAAUAUGAACCAUGCACAUCCCUCUCUGUCUCUCUGUCUUUCAGCAAGUUCACAUUGGGAGCUCCUCAGUAGUGUUUCCAGAGGUAAUGAUUUUCCACAGGGAGCUGUUUGGAGAUUCAUCUGCACUGUGGGCUGCACAAACAACCUCAGCCAGACAAGGAAAAAUGACUACAUUUAGAUGGAGUAUGCAGUGUGCUGUGAAAUUAUGUGGUGGUAUUAAUGCCACCUGUGUCAUCAAAAAGGAUAGCUCGGGUCCAAUCUGAGUGCCGUGCUUCAUUUUUGAUUAAGAAAAAAUUAAAAGCUCAGCGCCAAAUAAAUUCAUCUCUUUCAAUGAGGUCGCUCAUUGUUCCUGGAAGAGCUUGAUUUGACCUCGCCAGGUGGUCUCAUCAUUUCACAGAUUAACUUCCCUGAUGACUAUCGCCUCUGAUGCUAAUGUGGCGGCUUCCCCGCACUGCCUGACUGAAAACAGCCCUGAGGCAGAUUUGGUAAAGAAGAAGAGAUGAUUCAGGAUGACCGUUUAAAAUGCACUGAAACAAUGAGUCGGUGCAAAGACAAACAGGCAGAGAGACACGUGGACGCCGGUCGACGUCUUUAGCACAAGGGUGAGAUUUAAGUUUCUGUACUCUGAGCUCCGAGCCUCUUUGUUUCAUUCUGAAGGUCAUACAUUUGUUUGUGCUGCCCAGCUUUUUGUCCUUCCUGGGCCUCCGUCCCACACCCCACGGUCCUGGCCACAGCUCUGUGCUGCAGUACACUUUAAUCUUCCAAAUGCAGUAAUGGGCUGAGCCAAUGCAUUUACAGACCGUGACACAUGUGAGGUAACUCAGUGAGGCAACAUGACUACAGGAGCGACAGUAUAACUGUCACCCAUCUUUCACCCUUCACCGAAACACACGGACGAGAUUAAAUCCAUUCGCUGCUUUUUGAAAUUUCUACCAGCAAUUUAUCCAACUUAACCAGACGGUGACUAAUGACACCUUUUCAACCAGCAGUGAUGGAGCGCUGAUGCCGAACUCACGGGUGAGUGAGUGCUGGUUCAGUGGAGUGGCUGAGAGAGAGAUAAAAAGACUUCACUAACGGCACGUGGAGCUGGAUUACCUCAGCGCUGACGCCCAGGAAGUGGCUCCUUCUGUGAGUGCCAUAUGAGCAGCUGAGAGCUCUUAAUCUCAUCAGGUCGUUAUCAAACGUCAACUGUCAAGGUCAAAGCGGUCACUCGGUGAGGAGUGCACGCUAAAGUAAACGCCCACAGAGCAAUUUUGGCUCAUGCCAUAUGAGUUAGGUUGUCUUUCCUGGAGAAGUGGUUAGUUGAAAUGUACAGAUUAUUAACCUUUGGUCAACAACAGUGAUAAUCAACUCGUGGCCAGUGGGCUGAAUCCGGGCCACUGAACCGUCCAAUCCAGCCCAUGACUGGAUUUCAAAAUUGUGAGAAUAAAAGAGAAAAUGUUGUUGCAGUCCCCAGUAAUAAAACAACUUAAAUAACUACCAGUAAUCCCCCAUCAUUCAUGACUCUAUUUACAUUCUGAAGAAUGGGAUUUUUAUCUCGUUUCCUGUCCAGGUGUCUGUCCAGAAAAGAUUCUGGCCCUACGACAAAUGUAGUUGGGGACCCCAGGUGUACACAAAGUCAUAUAGCAGACAAACUAAGUAACAGUUCGGGAAUUCAUUUUUUUCCCCCAAGAAUCUAUUCAAAAGCGUUGUGGGUUUCAAUCUGAGCCUAUGCAGAGCGAGAGAGUGAGAACAGACUGAUUAUAUUCAAACUACAGAGUUUUUUAUUUCACGUCACUUCACGCAAAAGUAAAAUUCAACCUCCUCAGUGUUAACCCAAAAAACAACGUGCCAUCAGCUUUUAACAAACUCCUAGAAGCAAACCCAAGAAUGAGAACAAACAGCUGAUCUUUGACGAACAUGUCAUUUGAACACAUGCAGCACAGCAGGGUGCAAUCUUAAAGCAGCCCUGAACAGCAGCCUGUAGAAAACUUAGGCAACAUGCUCUGAUGUCAGGGUAUUUGAAAUUCUCUGCAGACGCUGUAGUAACACUGUUGAGCUUCGUGACACACAAUGACUUUGAGUAUCUUUUCAUCAUGAAGCAAACGUGACAUGCAUACAGAUGUAGUUCAGAUGUAAACAGAGUAUGAACAUCUGUCGUUUGGUUCUGACCUUCUAGGGACAACAGAUAUAAAGUAGCCUUUUGGCUAAAUCUGUUAUAUUUACAUCGACAUCUUCAAUCAAAUGCACUUUGCUUUUUAAAUUAAAACAAUUAAUUUGCAUUUCAAUGCAUCUCACUGACCCAGUACUGUGCUCUGUAAGGGUCACAGCACCUUAGUCGGUGUUCAUAUUCAUCAGAGUAUCAACGCGGCCACUUUCCCAGCCUUCCCUCCAUCUCACCACACGCUUCCCUGCAGCUUUGUUCCCACUCCGGCGCCUGUUCCUCCCCUUUGCUAAUUCUGCACUGCAGAUCUCUCCUGCUGAUAGCUGCAAAUCCCAAAUGUGCCAGCAGAGGCCUGUCUGCCCACCUCCUGCUUGUUCUCACGCUUCACAGAAUCUGGCCAUGACUGGGUCUCACUGUUUUUAUAUGAAUGAGCCGCUGGCAAUGUACCUUAAAAGUUCCAGGAACAAAGAACAGUCACAGGUAGCGGUGACAAUCGCCCGGCGUGCCGUUGUGUCAUGAAGGCCCUGCAGCUAACCAGGAAUGUCUCACUUAGAUGUAGACUAAAUGGAGGAGAGAGUGAGGUUAAAAACAAAGUUUGACUGUUUGCUGAGAUCUCUGUGGGAGACAGCGUACACUGUGGCGCUCUGCUUCACUGAUUCGACAGGGUAAACAAAUCAAUCACUCAUACACACUUCAGGACACUUCCUCUUGUCUCGCUGUCUCCCAAAAAAUGUCUCUUCGCUCUUGAAUAUCAAUGGACUUGUGCAACUUCGUUUUUCUCAUCUUUGCUCAUGAUAAGUCAUUAUAUUACAGUUCCCUCAUGAGACCAAACGCAUUGAUUAAAUAAAAACCCCACACACUCAUUUACACUCACUGCAUCUUAAUGUGGUGUUUGUACAACGUUUUACCUCAGAUCCUGUUCUGACAGUUUUGUAACUGAUAAAGAAAAGUAAAUGCAUGAAUAGAUAUUUUAUAGUCAAUGCUGUAAAUGAAAAUUAC